CAAGAACAUUAGUUCUCAGUGCUUUGGGGGACCUGUGGCUGAACAGUGAAACGACAAGCCCCACUGGGCAAGGUGCCAUGUUCCUGCAAUCCCCAGCACCCAGAAGGCAUGGGGAUCUCACAUGUGAGGCCAGCCUGAGCUACCCAGCAAGACUUUAACUCAACACACACACACACACACACACACACACACACACACACACUAUAAAGCUAAUCCAGUACUAAAACAAAAAGGAAAAAGUCCACCUUGAAUAUCUCUUUUUUCUUUUUCUUUUUUUUUUAACUGAGUCAAGCAGCCCACUUAUAAUCCCUUUUCAACUUUAAUCAGAAACACUGAAGAGAGACAAGAUGGCUUGGAGAUCACCUGAAGUCACUGACUCCUACUUAGAUCAAGAAGGUCCCAGGGUUUGAACUCGGGUUGUCAGGUUUACAUGGCAAGCUGAGUCAUCUUGCCUAUCACCAGCAUUUUCAUGUCACAGAAGAUGAACUGCACGGAAAAAAAUCACAGCAAUCAACAGCUGACUCAAAACAUGAGUCACAAAAAUUAAGAGAGAGCACCAUCUGAAUGGAGAGAGCACCAUCUGAAUGGAGAGAGCACCAUCUGAAUGGAGAGAGCACCAUCUGAAUGGAGAGAGCAAGCAAGGAGCGCUGUAUUUACAGAAAGGGUAAGCACAAGUGGCCCGGGCACCCGAGGAUCACGAUGGCUCUUCAGUUAGCUGUCAGCGCGCAAUAUAAAUCCUUGCUAUGUGAGCAAGUUGGAUCCAAUUCUUCAUCAAAGGUACUGUGCUCAUGGAGGCUGUCAGAUGCUCCCCGUCAAAUGAAUCCGCAUCCGCAGUCCAAAGGCCAGAGGAAAGGGGAUCGGCAGGGACAGAAGACAAACCUUCAGAAAUGCUGUGCAGAAAAGGCCGCCUUUCUGCCUAACAGGUCUCUCUCUUGCUGAAAGCAGCAGUAUGCAUUAUGUUUUUGAAAAUGAACUCCUGGGCCGCGAGACGGGGAGAAUCAAGUGCUGUGAAUGCGCAACAAUCUGAGUUUGAUCCUCAGAACCACAACAGAAGUAGAGGGCA
rnacentral:lncRNA from 1 species